rnacentral:rRNA from 1 species
AAUAGAUACCCGGGUAGUCCACGCCGUAAACGAUGAGUGCUAAGUGUUAGAGGGUUUCCGCCCUUUAGUGCUGCAGCUAACGCAUUAAGCACUCCGCCUGGGGAGUACGGCCGCAAGGCUGAAACUCAAAGGAAUUGACGGGGGCCCGCACAAGCGGUGGAGCAUGUGGUUUAAUUCGAAGCAACGCGAAGAACCUUACCAGGUCUUGACAUCCUCUGCCAACCCUAGAGAUAGGGCGUUCCCCUUCGGGGGACAGAGUGACAGGUGGUGCAUGGUUGUCGUCAGCUCGUGUCGUGAGAUGUUGGGUUAAGUCCCGCAACGAGCGCAACCCUUGAUCUUAGUUGCCAGCAUUCAGUUGGGCACUCUAAGGUGACUGCCGGUGACAAACCGGAGGAAGGUGGGGAUGACGUCAAAUCAUCAUGCCCCUUAUGACCUGGGCUACACACGUGCUACAAUGGAUGGUACAAAGAGCUGCGAACCCGUGAGGGUAAGCGAAUCUCAUAAAGCCAUUCUCAGUUCGGA